rnacentral:rRNA from 1 species
UACGAAGGGUGCUAGCGUUGUUCGGAAUCACUGGGCGUAAAGCGCGCGUAGGCGGCGAUAAAAGUCAGGGGUGAAAUCCCGGAGCUUAACUCCGGAAUUGCCUUUGAAACUAGAUUGCUAGAGUGUCGGAGGGGAUAGCGGAAUUGCUAAUGUAGAGGUGAAAUUCGUAGAUAUUAGCAGGAACACCGGUGGCGAAGGCGGCUAUCUGGACGACAACUGACGCUGAGGCGCGAAAGUGUGGGGAUCAAACAGG